rnacentral:tRNA from 1 species
GUGAACUUAGUUUAAAAAUAAAACCUUUGACUUGCAAUCAAAAAAUCUAGUCCACCAAAUCUAGAGUCCACA